GGGUUAUUUAUUUACAUAUAUGCCAUGCAGUUAUUUUGUACAGCAUAUACGAACAGCCUUACCGAUACUGUUUUCACUUUAAAAUGAAGAAAGGAAGCUAAGUAAAAUUCUGGAACUUGCCCGAGGAGCUUGCAUUAAAACUCGGGUUAGACUGAUCUGUGAACUGGGCUACUAGCCAGGAAUCUUACCCAUUUGAUUCCGUAACAUUAACUUUAAUAUUAUGGCAAGGUGAUCUCCUUACAUAAGCCAGUUUGGGCACAAAGUCUCCGUAUUUAUAUCAUGCUUUAACUUAAAGGAUCACAGUCUCAGGCAGUGGAUUUCCUAUGUAUUAGGACGAUUUCAGGUGCAACUGUUAGAAAUUACACACUUAUUUAAGCAAACACACACACACAUAUCCACAUAUAUAAAACUGUAUAAAACUCAAUUGUGUAUCCCCAACUAGAAUUUCUUUUGCUACUUUGCUACCAGUACCAACCCAGCAACUAGACAGCACCUAGAGGAACUGAUAACUGCUCACUCAAGACAACUUCUAAAAUACUGGUAUAGAGACUGAAGAGUAGCGUAAGACAAAUGACAACUCAGAACCAGUAAAUGUAUCGUUUCCACAUAGAAGUACAAUUUAUCCUUUCUGAAAAUUGAAAGAAUAAUAGAGGUAUUCAGGGUCACAGAGUCAUUAAGUCCCUGAAUCUUCCAUUUCCAACCACGUAAAACUAUGUGGACUCAUUCUCUUCCACCAUUCUUCUGCUCUUUGCUCCCCUCCCUCCCCACUAGCUCUUGUUAACUCCAUGAAAACCAGAUCUUUCAUUCUAAGCCCACGGGGAAAACAGCAGCCAUUUAUCAAUGUUUAUAACAUGGCUAGGUUGAUAUCCUGUUCCAGUUGGAAAGGAAUAGGCAAAGAAGAGCAGUCAUGAAGCUCCAGCUCCUACUUGUCAAUGCUGCAGAGCUGACGAAAGAUUUCUGUCAGGUGAAAGUGACAGUGGAGAGUGGGAUAGGAUCAGUGUUUUACAUGAUUGUGUUUUUUAUUCUGUCCCUUGAUGUUUAGACUUGAAUGACUGAUCCAAACUUUUUGCCAAGUAGGCACACAUAAGUAAGCUUCAACAGGAACACAUCUUAAACCAUUUCUCCAGAUGUUGCUUCAUUGACUCUUUAACUUGGCCUUCCUUUCCAGAUCUUUCUUAUCCCCUUAUUGUUGACCCUAUAUUCCCAAUUUAGUACUUUUUUUUUUCUCCUUUAAAGUAAAUGUUUAUUGGGAAAGUCAAGUCUGCUGAAUUUACAAUGAUUUGCUAUUAAAUCAUCAUGAAGCUUAAAAUCCCCAGAGGUCAUGCUCAUCUUUUCAUCACACACAUUGAUUUUCAUUUUCAGGAGGCCUAGACAGGCUCUGAAAAGUAGUUCAUCUCACUGCGUUUCACAUCAGUAGGGCCAGGAAUGCAACCUAAAGCUCCUGGUAGAGCUCUACCUAAAGAGGAGAUCAUACCAAGAUCAAAUCUUAAAGUCCUUUUGACAUUUCUUAUAAGGCUGAUCUAGUGGUGAUGAAGUCCUUCAGCCUUUGCUUGUCUCGAAAACUCUCUCCUUCAAGGACAACUUUGCUAGCCACCUCCCCAGAGAACCUUGUAACAACAGAAGAUCUGUCCUUCUCUUCAUAAUAGAGUACAUGUCUCCAAAGAACUGAAUUAUUCUGCCUGUCAGAUUCUUUGUUUCCUGCACUUGAAUAGUAAAAGAUGA